AAAGAAAAAGUUUUUCGCUCUUAGUUGAUUAUUAACAACCACCGGACAAGUAAUAAAUAGGGUAAUUGCCUAUUUAGCUUAUGUCCGUAACCAAGACUGAGAGGUCUAUUGGUCACACUGGGUCUGAAAAAACCCCAGUGCGUAUAGUACAGCAGUGAGGGAUAUUGGUCAAUGGCCUAACGGCUGAACCAGCAACUUGCAGGAAUGAGAGUUAAUAUAAGUAGUUUAUUAACUUACUUGGCUAAGUCUUAUAAAAUUCUGGAUAAAGCUUAUAAUGAAAACUUUAUAUCCAUAGGUCUCGACUAAAUCUUGUGCCAGCAGUCGCGGUAAGACAAGGGAGACGAGUGUUAUUCAUCUUUAACAGGUAUAUAGGGUACCUAGACGGUGUACAAAGGCUUGAAUAGUACCUGAUACACUAGAGUUUGAUAUGUGAGAGGAUAUGUCAGUAUGGUUGGUGGAGAGAUGAAAUUCUUUGAUACCAAUUAGACGGGUAACGGCGAAGGCAAACCUUUAUGUACAAGUACUUUUUUAUCUUUUAAGAUAGAGUUUAACCAAAAUAAUUUUGAAUUAUUUUGUACAGAGAUUUUAGAAAUAGAAUUUUUAGAAUGUAAUCUUAAGAGUAAGUACUAUAACUGACGUUGAGGGACGAAGGCUCAGGGAGUGAAGAGGAUUAGAUACCCCCGUAGUCUGGGCAGACAAUGAUGAGUGCCAUAGGUUAGCUUAUGCUGAACUAUAAAUGAAAGUGGAAGCACUCCACCUCAAGAGUAAUGUGGCAACGCAGGAACUGAAAUCAUUAGACCGUUUCUGAAACCAGUAGUGAAGUAUGUUGUUUAAUUCGAUGAUCCGCGAAAAACCUUACCACAAUUUGAAUGAACUAAUUACUUUGUAGCUAGUUUACGUUUUUACGUGAAUUUUAACUAUGUUUUUAGAACACAUGCGUUGCAUGGCUGUCUUCAGUUAAUGUCGUGAGAUUUGGUUAGGUCCAUUAAAUUAACGUAAACCCUUGUUUUAUUUAAUAUAAUAAAGCAGCUCUCCGCUUAGAAUUGGAUAUGAUAACAGGGACUAAGACAAGUCAUCAUGGCCUUAAUAUUGUGGGCUACAGACGUGCCACGUAUUCCUUUACAAAGGGAUGCAAUAAUGCGAAUUGGAGCUAAUCCCACAAAAAAGGAUAGAGUAUGGAUUGUAGUCUGAAACUCGACUGCAUGAAAAAGGAAUUACUAGUAAUCGUGAGUAAUCACAUCACGGUGAAUAUUAUCUCAGAUAGGUACUAACUACUCGUCAGGCGCUGAAAGGAGUAUAUGCAAUAAGUUUGGUAGCUGCUAUUUGUUAUCACAAAACAUUUAAGUUUAGAUCUUUUGGCAAGAUAUCUUCGUAUGCGUGACUCUGAUUAGUGUUAAGUCGAAA
rnacentral:rRNA from 1 species